CCAAUCGAACCCGGAGAUAGCUGGUUCUCCUCGAAAUAGCUUUAGGGCUAGCCUCAUGGAUCAUUGGUGGGGGUAGAGCACUGAAUGUGCGCGGGGGCCACAAAGCCUACCAAACGCUAUCAAACUUCGAAUACCAUACAAUGCAGACCAUGGGAGUCAGUCCGCGAGAGAUAAGUUCCGCGGGCAAAAGGGGAACACCCCAGAUCAACCGCUAAGGUCCCCAAGUUCACGUUAAGUGGAGAAGGAUGUGGAAUUGCACAGACAACCAGGAUGUUGGCUCAGAAGCAGCCACACAUUUAAAGAGUGCGUAAUAGCUCACUGGUCGAGUGAUUGUGCGCCGAAGAUGUCCGGGGCUAAACGUGACACCGAAGCGAUGGGUGCAUCUGAAGAAGAUGCGCGGUAGAGGAGCAAUGUGCAGAGGCAGAAGCCGUAUCGAGAGGCACGGUGGACACUGCACAAGAGAGAAUGCCGGUAUGAGUAGCGAGAGGCAUGCGAGAAACAUGCCCGUCGAAAGCCCAAGGUUUCCUGGGGAAGGUUCAUCCGCCCAGGGUAAGUCGGGGCCUAAGCCGAGGACGGAAGUCGUAGGCGAUGGACAGCAGGUGUAGAUUCCUGCACUACCGAUGGAAUGAAGCAGUGACACAGAAGGAUAACUCGAGCAGGGUGAUGGUCAACCCUGUGCAAGCAUCAAGGUUGGGUUGUAGUGAAGUACGCAAUCCUAUAAGCUGAGAUGUGAUGCGGACCGAAAUUUCAGUAGGGAAGCGAGUGAGUUCACGCUGGCGAGAAAAGCUGCUAGUACAUCCAAAGGUACCCGUACCGGAAACCGACGCAGGUGGGCGAGGAGAGAAUCCUGAGACGAACGGGAGAACCCUUGUUAAGGAACUCGGCAAAAUGACCCCGUAACUUCGGGAUAAGGGGUGCCUGCGAGAGCAGGCCGCAGAGAAUAGUCACAAGCGACUGUUUAGCAAAAACACAGGUAUCUGCGAAAGCGAGAGCUGACGUAUAGGUGCUGACACCUGCCCGGUGCUGGAAGGUUAAGGGAACAUGUUAGAGCAAUCGAAGCAUCGAACCGAAGCCCCAGUAAACGGCGGCCGUAACUAUAACGGUCCUAAGGUAGCGAAAUUCCUUGUCGGGUAAGUUCCGACCCGCACGAAUGGUGUAACGACUUGUGAGCUGUCUCAACAGGGGGCCCGGUGAAAUUGAAGUAUGGGUGAAGAUGCCCAUUACCCGCGACUGGACGGAAAGACCCCGUAGAGCUUUACUGCAGCCUGAUAUUGAGUUUCGGUAACUGAUGCACAGGAUAGGUGGGAGUCUGAGAGACACGGGUUUCGGCUCGUGUGGAGACGAUGUUGGGAUACCACUCUUCGGUUACUGAAAUUCUAACAUAGCUCUGUGAAACCAGAGGAUGGACAGUGUCAGGUGGACAGUUUGACUGGGGCGGUCGCCUCCGAAAGAGUAACGGAGGCGCCCAAAGGUACCCUCAGAAUGGAUGGAAACCAUUCGAAGAGCGCAAAGGCAGAAGGGUGCCUGACUGCGAGAGUGACAACUCGAGCAGAGACGAAAGUCGGGCUUAGUGAUCCGGCGGUAUUGAGUGGAAAAGCCGUCGCUUAACGGAUAAAAGCUACCUCGGGGAUAACAGGCUGAUCUCCCCCAAGAGUCCACAU
rnacentral:rRNA from 1 species